rnacentral:rRNA from 1 species
CCCUUAGAUGUUCUGGGCCGCACGCGCGCUACACUGAUGCAUUCAACGAGCCUAUCCUUGACCGACAGGUCCGGGUAAUCUUUGAAUCUGCAUCGUGACGGGGAUAGAUUAUUGCAAUUAUUAAUCUUCAACGAGGAAUGCCUAGUAGGCGCAAGUCAUCAGCUUGCGUCGAUUACGUCCCUGCCCUUUGUACACACCGCCCGUCGCUACUACCGAUUGAAUGGCUUAGUGAGCCUUUGGGAUUGGCAGCCAACACCGGCAACGGUAGCUGGCCGCCGAAAACUUAUGCAAACUUGGUCAUUUAGAGGAAGUAAAAGUCGUAACA